rnacentral:rRNA from 2 species
CUAUACAUGAAGUCGAGCGGAAGGGAGCUUGCUCCCGGAUGUUAGCGGCGGACGGGUGAGUAACACGUGGGUAACCUGCCUGUAAGACUGGGAUAACUCCGGGAAACCGGAGCUAAUACCGGAUAGUUCCUUGAACCGCAUGGUUCAAGGAUGAAAGACGGUUUCGGCUGUCACUUACAGAUGGACCCGCGGCGCAUUAGCUAGUUGGUGGGGUAAUGGCUCACCAAGGCGACGAUGCGUAGCCGACCUGAGAGGGUGAUCGGCCACACUGGGACUGAGACACGGCCCAGACUCCUACGGGAGGCAGCAGUAGGGAAUCUUCCGCAAUGGACGAAAGUCUGACGGAGCAACGCCGCGUGAGUGAUGAAGGUUUUCGGAUCGUAAAGCUCUGUUGUUAGGGAAGAACAAGUGCGAGAGUAACUGCUCGCACCUUGACGGUACCUAACCAGAAAGCCACGGCUAACUACGUGCCAGCAGCCGCGGUAAUACGUAGGUGGCAAGCGUUGUCCGGAAUUAUUGGGCGUAAAGGGCUCGCAGGCGGUUUCUUAAGUCUGAUGUGAAAGCCCCCGGCUCAACCGGGGAGGGUCAUUGGAAACUGGGAAACUUGAGUGCAGAAGAGGAGAGUGGAAUUCCACGUGUAGCGGUGAAAUGCGUAGAGAUGUGGAGGAACACCAGUGGCGAAGGCGACUCUCUGGUCUGUAACUGACGCUGAGGAGCGAAAGCGUGGGGAGCGAACAGGAUUAGAUACCCUGGUAGUCCACGCCGUAAACGAUGAGUGCUAAGUGUUAGGGGGUUUCCGCCCCUUAUGCUGCAGCUAACGCUUAAGCACUCCGCCUGGGGAGUACGGUGCGCAAGAGAACUCAAAUGGAAUUGACGAGGGCCCCCGCAACCGUGUAGCUGUGUAUUAUUUCGACGCUCGGCAAACUAUCAGCUUGGGAGCAAACAGAUGA